GGCGCUUUGACGGAGUGGUUAACGUGCACGCCUGCUAUCCUCUCUCCUUCUCUAAGGAAAGACUGCGAGUGUGUUCCUUCGGGAGCGAGAGUUCGAAUCUCUCAGGCGUCG